CUCUAGUGUCAUUUACACUACAUUAAUGCCACUCGUCAUCAUUUAACAUUUGGAUGCCACUCGUGUGUUCUUUAACACUAAACACUACUUUCUAUGUCAUCAAUACCCCCAUCGGGUUCACCUCUUUUCUUUUACAUCAUAGGAUCCACGUUCCGACCCAAUCCUCACCUAUCUAAGUUACCAAGCGUUCCAAGUACACUAGGUUAUCAUUUAGAAAGCAUAAAGAAUGGAGCUACUAUGCAAUCCUACAAUGCAACAUGAAGAGAUGAGAUUAAAUGCAAUCUAAGACAUAGAAAGGAGUUCGAAAGCUUUGGGAUGACACCCCCCACCUUUUAUCUACGUAGAGGCUUUAGAAACGCUCCUCGGCGAGCUUUACGAAAAGGCUUUAGCCCUCCCUAAUCCAAGAUAGCGCCGAAACGACCGUAAUUCGCCGAUUGCUCUAAGCCCGCUCAACGAAUCGCAAAAUCGACCUCGCCCCUGCGUUUGGGCACCUAUCGAUGAGGUUUACAAAGCCUCAAAUGAGAUCAAUCUCAUACUUUACAAAAUGCCCCCAUUUGGAGCCUUAGGUUGCACAUAUAGCAAUCCACCAAUAAAACCCUAGAUUCUUGGGAUUGAUCUACUUAGAAGCAUGCUUGGGGUCCAUUUGACCCAUUCCAAAGCAUAAAAACCCAAAACCCUAAGUUUACAAAGCUAGGGUUUAGUAGCUUACCUCAAGAGCUACACCAAUGGGAAGAGGAGAGGGAGAUGGAGGUGCUCAAAGCCUUCCUCUUGAUCUCCUUCUUCUUCUCCUUCCUUGUCUUCCUCUUCUUUUCCUUCCUCUCCUUCUUGUUCUCCUUCUCCUUCUUUCCUUUCUAGAGAGAGAGGGAGAGAAAUAGAGAGAUGAGAGUGAGAGAGAGGAAUGAGAGAGUGUGAGGGAGAGAGAGGGCCCAGCCCACUCUAAUAAAGGCCAUUUUGCAUUUAGACCCCUCAACUUUUAACCCCUUGCACAGCCCUCACUGGGCAGUUUUCGCGCGGAGGGACCGGUCUCCCCGACUUGGGACCGGUCCCCGAGAGCUUCCCUCGGGCGCACGCGUUCGGGAACCGGUCUCUCCUUGGGAGACCGGUCCUCGCCUGAGAGACCGGUCCCCGAGAGCUCACUUUUCAGGACUUAGCCAAAUUUCGGCAUUUCUCGCUGGAACCACGUUCGGGAACCGGUCCCUCCCUGCCAGGGACCGGUUGCACCUUGCAACCCCGCACGCCCAGCUGAUGGGACCGGUCUCUCACCUCCAGAGACCGGUCCCCGAGAGCAACUUCAGCCCAAUAAUGCUGUUUGCAUCAUUAGCUCUCGUGGACUCAACUCCAAAGCACUUCUUGUGUUUUGGACAUCUUUAAUUUCCCCAAAAGGUAUUCUCUCGACAAUUAGUCGAUCCUGGACGAAGUACAACUUCCGGAUUUCGAGAAUUCACUUCCUUACAAAACCCAUCUAUUUACAAAAAUCCCAUUUUUGAGCCCUAGUUUGCGACUACGGUAAAAACCACCAAAUCGAUCUUCGAUUCAUGCCAUAACCAUCUAUCUAGCAUCAAAGGAGCCUACUAAAUCCAUUUCUAGAGCAUUUAGACCUAUUUCUAGAGAUCUACCAUGAGAGGGUAACAAAGCUUACCUCUCUAGGUUCGCUCCAAGCACGAGGAAGACAAAGGAGAGGAUGAAGAUCUCCUCCUUGAUCUUCUUCUCCUUCUUUUUCUUCUUCUCUUCUUCUCAUUCCUCUUCUUCUUCUCCUCUUUCUUUUUCGUUUAGAGAGAGAGAGAGGGGUGGUGUUGGGUGAUACGGUGAGGGAAAGAGAGAGAGAGGUGUUCUAACCCUCUCUAUACACUUAACCCAUGCAACAAUUGCAUAUAAGCCCCUCAAUAAUGCCUCUCUUGCAACAGCCCGAACUAGGCAUUUUCGGGGUUCGGGGACCGGUCUCUGCAUGAGAGACCGGUCCCUGAGAGACCGGUCUCUCUGCCUGGGACCGGUCCCAGAGAGACCUCCAGCCCAGACUUAGCCAAUUUUCAGCUUCGUCUGUUUUCGCUCGUUUUCAUUCGUUUGACCUCCGAUUCGUCUCAAAUCGAACCGAGACUCUCCAAACAUGUUUUCAAACAUGUUUUCAUCAUCUUUCCAUCCUCGCUAAUGCCGGAUUUAGCUCACGGCCCAGUUAGCCUUUCGGGUUCCGUUUUCGCGCCUAUGCGCACCGAAACGCCCGAUUGCUUUCGAACUUCACCGAACUUCACCGGAACCAUUCUAAUGGCUCUCCAAUCGAAUGUACACCGUAACUUCAUGGUCUUAGAAGUCCGGUACCUUACAUG
rnacentral:lncRNA from 1 species